rnacentral:lncRNA from 1 species
CAUGAAGUAGAGGAGACAGGACGAGGGAGAAAGGACGAAGGAAGCAUCAGUUGGAGCAGUUCAGCAUGAGCCACAUGAACCACGGUCCGUGCGUGGACAAGGCGACGUGGAUGUACACGACGUUGCCUUGGAGAUCGAGGCGCGGGCAGAAACAGUACAAACAAUAAGAGCCGUUGUUAAAAACAGCCACAACCAUGACAUGAUGGCAUCAUUUCCACAUAAAAGAUAUGCUACGGUUUCACGUCACAGCUGAACCGCUGAGGUUCUGCUCCAAACCCGGCAACACACAGACUUUAACAACAGUUCCUCCAGCCACCACCACAGUGGCCAUGACCACGGAAUCAACUACCACCGGAGCAACAACUACCACAGGAGCAACCAACACCACAGUGGCCAUGACCACAGGAGCAACUACGACCGGAGCAACUACGACCGGAGCAACAACUACCACCGGAGCAACAACUACCACCGGAGCAACAACUACCACAGGAGCAACAACUACCACAGGAGCAACCACCACCACAGUGGCCAUGACCACAGGAGCAACUACGACCGGAGCAACUACGACCGGAGCAACAACUACCACAGGAGCAACAACUACCACAGGAGUAACUACGACCGGGGGAUCAACUACCACCGGAGGAUCAACUACCACCGGAGCAACUACCACCGGGGGAUCAACUACCACCGGAGCAACUACGACCGGGGGAUCAACUACCACCGGGGGAUCAACUACCACCGGAGGAUCAACUACCACCGGAGCAACUACCACCGGAGGAUCAACCGCCACUGUAUCCACAACAAAAGCCACCUCUUCAGCAGCCAUAAACAAAACAAGCUUCCUUCUACUCACAUCAGUUGUCUCCUCACUUCUUUGGAAAUGAAUUUGCUCAAAUGAGGGACCAAACAGCUUGUUUGUAGUUGACACACUGAUGUUUAUAUGAAGGCGCAGCCUGAUUUGUGAGGCUUUAUUGUCAGGUUCUCUUCUUUUGUCCUGUUUAUAUUAAAGACGUAGAAAGGCAGCGUUCAACAGAUCUAAGUGACCCACACAGUGUGGCGACAGCUCUGUAGAACACUGUAGAUGCAUAAAACAUGUCCAAAUAUUAAAAGCACACAAACAUAGCAAACGUUGCUGCCUCAUCCUGUGUCUUUAUUUUGACUUAUGACUUACAGCAUA